rnacentral:rRNA from 1 species
ACUCAAAGGAAUAGACGGGGGCCCGCACAAGCGGCGGAGCGUGCGGUUUAAUUCGACGCGACGCGCAGAACCUUACCCGGGCUUGACAUGUCCCUGCAGAGCCGGGAAACCGGUUGGCCUUCGAGGGUGGGGCACAGGUGCUGCAUGGCUGUCGUCAGCUCGUGUCGUGAGAUGUUGGGUUAAGUCCCGCAACGAGCGCAACCCCCGCGGCCAGUUGCCAGAUGUUUCUGGCCGGACCGCCGGUAGCAAGCCGGAGGAAGGUGGGGAUGACGUCAAGUCAGCAUGGCCCUUACGUCCGGGGCAACACGCACGCUACAAUGGCCGGGACAGUGGGUCGCCAAGUCGUAAGGCGGAGCGAAUCCCCCAAACCCGGUCUCAGUUCGGAUCGCGGGCUGCAACUCGCCCGCGUGAAGGUGGAGUCGCUAGUAACCGCAGGUCAGCAGUACUGCGGUGAAUACGUUCCCGGGCCUUGUACACACCGCCCGU